rnacentral:rRNA from 1 species
GAUGGACGGGGAGCUUGCUCCUUGAUUCAGCGGCGGACGGGUGAGUAAUGCCUAGGAAUCUGCCUGGUAGUGGGGGACAACGUUUCGAAAGGAACGCUAAUACCGCAUACGUCCUACGGGAGAAAGCAGGGGACCUUCGGGCCUUGCGCUAUCAGAUGAGCCUAGGUCGGAUUAGCUAGUUGGUGGGGUAAUGGCUCACCAAGGCGACGAUCCGUAACUGGUCUGAGAGGAUGAUCAGUCACACUGGAACUGAGACACGGUCCAGACUCCUACGGGAGGCAGCAGUGGGGAAUAUUGGACAAUGGGCGAAAGCCUGAUCCAGCCAUGCCGCGUGUGUGAAGAAGGUCUUCGGAUUGUAAAGCACUUUAAGUUGGGAGGAAGGGCAGUAAGCUAAUACCUUGCUGUUUUGACGUUACCGACAGAAUAAGCACCGGCUAACUCUGUGCCAGCAGCCGCGGUAAUACAGAGGGUGGCAAGCGUUAAAUCGGAAUUACUGGGGCGUAAAGCGCGCGUAGGGUGGGUUUUGUUUAAGUUUGGGAUGUGAAAAGCCCCCGGGGCCUCAACCCUGGGGACUGCAUUCAAAAACUGGGCAAAGCUAGAGUACGGGUAGAAGGGGUGGGUGGGAAUUUUC